rnacentral:rRNA from 1 species
UACGUAGGCAGCAAGCGUUGUUCGGAGUUACUGGGCGUAAAGGGCGCGCAGGCGGCUCUUCAAGUCAGGCGUGAAAGCCCCGGGCUUAACCUGGGAAUUGCGCUUGGGACUGGAGGGCUUGAGUACGGGAGAGGAGAGUGGAAUUCCCAGUGUAGAGGUGAAAUUCGUAGAUAUUGGGAAGAACACCGGUGGCGAAGGCGGCUCUCUGGACCGUAACUGACGCUGAGGCGCGAAAGCGUGGGGAGCAAACAGG